rnacentral:rRNA from 1 species
GAUGAACGCUGGCGGCGUGCCUAAUACAUGCAAGUCGAGCGAACAGACGAGGAGCUUGCUCCUCUGACGUUAGCGGCGGACGGGUGAGUAACACGUGGAUAACCUACCUAUAAGACUGGGAUAACUUCGGGAAACCGGAGCUAAUACCGGAUAAUAUAUUGAACCGCAUGGUUCAAUAGUGAAAGACGGUUUUGCUGUCACUUAUAGAUGGAUCCGCGCCGCAUUAGCUAGUUGGUAAGGUAACGGCUUACCAAGGCAACGAUGCGUAGCCGACCUGAGAGGGUGAUCGGCCACACUGGAACUGAGACACGGUCCAGACUCCUACGGGAGGCAGCAGUAGGGAAUCUUCCGCAAUGGGCGAAAGCUUGACGGAGCAACGCCGCGUGAGUGAUGAAGGUCUGCGGAUCGUAAAACUCUGUUAUUAGGGGAGAACAAAUGUGUAAGUAACUAUGCACGUCUUGACGGUACCUAAUCAGAAAGCCACGGCUAACUACGU